CUCUAUGCCUUUUUCGCUUUCUAAAUGCUCGGCACGACCCGGCAAGCGAGAUCACAUGGCUCGUGAAAAGAAUGUGCGCCACUUAUUAUGGACACUAAAUUGUUUGGUUCAGUAUUCCUUUAAGCCGAAAAUGAAGCGAAGGCUACAGGCACAAGGCCGCUGCAGCUUGGAGAAAGUUUUAGCUGACAGCGCUCGCGCUAGAAAUGCCCGUUUCAGUGCGCGGCGCACGCGCUAGCACGGGUUCAUAGCCCUUCGCUGUAAUAUCUACAUUACGAAGUUAACUUGAAAUCCAUACUUACGGCUGAACUUCACGACCUGAGCUGUCAGCAGCUUCGUUGUCCCUGUAGCCCGUUUGUUCUUGUCUUCGUUCGGCCAGUUCACUUUUACCCAAUUGUUCUUCUGGGUUGGCCCGGUGUAAGUGGGCCACGUUUUUGAAUUGUGCUUCACUAUUGGAUCGAAGUUUUGAAUGAGUUUCUCUGAAUCAGCUGAAAGGCUCUCGUCCGGAAACCUGUACAGGGCGAACUUGUCCAUCGUAAUGCGGACACUUCGAAGUUCCAACGUCCCAAACGAAAAACGAACGCAACAGAGGUAGACAGAAGCAGUGGUGGCCCAGCCAUUUUAGGUUUUGGAGCAAUUUUUGGAGCAAGAAAAACCCAAUUUUGGAGCAAUUCGUAUCACAUAAACUCCCCUUUUGGAGCAGGGAAAAGCUCGUUUUGGAGCACCUUGGUAUCAGGAAAACUAAACAUUUUGGAGCAGCAUGAACAUAGAGCAGUUCUGUGCCAUGUCUUUAUUAAUAUAUAUAUAUAUUACGGCGGCCCUUGUCAAUCUUUCCUCACCCCCCAUAUAUAUAUAUAGGUCUGUGUGUGUCACGAACAUCUGAAUUUCAUAUAGUAAUUUACAAAGUAAAGAACUCACCAUAAGAAAACCAUUUUAUUUAUGACAGAACAUUCUUGCAGCUAAAGCUUAACUAUGUAACAAAAUAUCACAGAUGAAAACUAAAAUAUUGCUUAAUACUUCUUGCCUUUUGACUGUAGGCUAUAUAUCACAGGUGAAAAAAAAAUAUUGACUCAAUGCUUUUUGCAUUUCUUUUUCAGUUUGUCCAGCUCGCAAAGAGUGUGUGACAAAGUAGCAUUGGCUUCAGCUAACAUAGUUUGGCCACCUUCUACUUUUUCCAAGCUUUGGCACUGCAGUCCUGCGCCAACAAUCUCUUCCGCCCUCUUCAGCAACGCACGGCACGAGAUCACCCUUUCCUCCAACUGCUUCUUUAAGCGCUUGUCAUGCGAGUUGUCAGCAUCAACUUGUGCGCUGUCGGGCUUUUUUCUCUUCAUGACGGCCUCUCUGCUUCCAAAGCUUUUCACUCAUGCUCAUUAUUGUUUGUGACAUAAUCCGGUUUCAUGUCUCAUUCCUUUAUUUUUAACCCUGACCACUAGAGUUCUUUCUUCUUGCUUACCCUCAAUAAAAUAGUUUUUUCUUUGGUGCUGUUUGGCCUCAGCAGCCCUUGCACCAUAAAAACGCAAUCCAACCCUACGCUGAUGUGGGAAUGUGGAGGUGGAUGGCAGGGUGCCUUCUGCAAGCAUCAGGCCCUUGUUCAUCAUCGAUACAGAGGGACCUUCCCCAACGCUUCUCUUCUCUUGGCCCAUGACUGCCACCAGCUCGGGCUCUUGUCUCUGGGAGACAACUGCCAGCCUGUGGCUCUCUUCCAAGCCUUCAAAGAGCCGCCAGGGCAGCCAUCCACCAGUACUGCUGUGAAAGAAACUGCAGCGCCAGCAGAGCCGAGCAGUGCCCCUGCAAUGGAACACCAACAGCUAGCCAGCCUCGACGACUCCCCUCCCAUUAAUCUGCAAGAGCAUCGACAGCAGGGCUGUAGAGGGACAAGCAGCAGCAAGUGUGCACCAGUCGUCCGCACUGACUUCGCUAGUGCUCCAGCUCGUCGAUGUGCAGAAUCUCCAUCCGUCAGCCGAAUAAAGUUAGGUUACAUGUUGAGACCUCAUGGCAGUUGCAUGGAACAAGAAGAAAAGGAAUGGCGCGGCGUGAUACACAAUGCUCAACACUAUGGUCAGUGA
rnacentral:lncRNA from 1 species